rnacentral:rRNA from 1 species
GAUGAACGUUGGCGGCGUGCCUAAUACAUGCAAGUCGAACGAAGACUGUAGUAAUACUGUCUUAGUGGCGAACGGGUGAGUAACGCGUGGGUGACCUGCCCCGAAGUGUGGGAUAACAGUUCGAAAGAACUGCUAAUACCGCAUAAUAUCCAAGAGAUUAGACGCUUUUGGAUUAAAGGAGUAAUUCGCUUCGGGAGGGGCCCGCGUCCCAUCAGCUAGUUGGUAAGGUAAUGGCUUACCAAGGCGAUGACGGGUAGGGGACCUGAGAGGGUGGCCCCCCAAAUGGAACUGAAACACGGUCCAUACACCUACGGGUGGCAGCAGUAGGGAAUAUUGCAAAUGGGCAAAGCCUGAUGUAGCAACGCCGCGUGUGCGAUGAAGGUCUUCGGAUUGUAAAGCACUUUUUGGAGGGAUGAGGAAGGACAGUACCUCCAGAAUAAGCCUGGCUAACUACGUGCCAAGCAGCCGGGUAAACUAGUCUACG